UGAUCCUGGCUCAGGAUGAACGCUGGCGGCGUGCUUAACACAUGCAAGUCGAGCGAAGCAUUUUUAAGGAAGUUUUCGGAUGGAAUUAAAAGUGACUGAGCGGCGGACGGGUGAGUAACGCGUGGGUAACCUGCCUCAUACAGGGGGAUAACAGCUAGAAAUGGCUGCUAAUACCGCAUAAGCGCACAGUGCUGCAUAGUACAGUGUGAAAAACUCCGGUGGUAUGAGAUGGACCCGCGUCUGAUUAGGUAGUUGGUGAGGUAACGGCCCACCAAGCCGACGAUCAGUAGCCGACCUGAGAGGGUGACCGGCCACAUUGGGACUGAGACACGGCCCAAACUCCUACGGGAGGCAGCAGUGGGGAAUAUUGGACAAUGGGGGAAACCCUGAUCCAGCGACGCCGCGUGAGUGAAGAAGUGUUUCGGCAUGUAAAGCUCUAUCAGCAGGGAAGAAAAUGACGGUACCUGACUAAGAAGCCCCGGCUAACUACGUGCCAGCAGCCGCGGUAAUACGUAGGGGGCAAGCGUUAUCCGGAUUUACUGGGUGUAAAGGGAGCGUAGAC
rnacentral:rRNA from 1 species